AACGAACGCUGGCGGCAUGCCUAACACAUGCAAGUCGAACGAGACCUUCGGGUCUAGUGGCGCACGGGUGCGUAACGCGUGGGAACCUGCCCUUAGGUUCGGAAUAACUCCCCGAAAGGGGUGCUAAUACCGGAUAAUGUCAUCGGACCAAAGAUUUAUCGCCUUUGGAUGGGCCCGCGUUGGAUUAGCUAGUUGGUAGGGUAAAAGCCUACCAAGGCGACGAUCCAUAGCUGGUCUGAGAGGAUGAUCAGCCACACUGGGACUGAGACACGGCCCAGACUCCUACGGGAGGCAGCAGUGGGGAAUAUUGGACAAUGGGCGCAAGCCUGAUCCAGCAAUGCCGCGUGAGUGAUGAAGGCCUUAGGGUUGUAAAGCUCUUUUACCCGGGAUGAUAAUGACAGUACCGGGAGAAGAAGCUCCGGCUAACUCCGUG
rnacentral:rRNA from 1 species